GACGAACGCUGGCGGCGUGCCUAAUACAUGCAAGUCGAACGAGAGCGACCGGUGCUUGCACUGGUCAAUCUAGUGGCGAACGGGUGAGUAACACGUGGGUAACCUGCCCAUCAGAGGGGGAUAACAUUCGGAAACGGAUGCUAAAACCGCAUAGGUCCUUUAACCGCAUGGUUGAAGGAGGAAAAGAGGCGCAAGCUUCUGCUGAUGGAUGGACCCGCGGUGCAUUAGCUAGUUGGUGAGGUAACGGCUCACCAAGGCCGUGAUGCAUAGCCGACCUGAGAGGGUGAUCGGCCACAUUGGGACUGAGACACGGCCCAAACUCCUACGGGAGGCAGCAGUAGGGAAUCUUCCGCAAUGGACGCAAGUCUGACGGAGCAACGCCGCGUGAGUGAAGAAGGUUUUCGGAUCGUAAAACUCUGUUGUUAGAGAAGAACAAGUGCUAGAGUAACUGUUAGCGCCUUGACGGUAUCUAACCAGAAAGCCACGGCUAACUACGUGCCAGCAGCCGCGGUAAUACGUAGGUGGCAAGCGUUGUCCGGAUUUAUUGGGCGUAAAGCGAGCGCAGGCGGUUCCUUAAGUCUGAUGUGAAAGCCCCCGGCUCAACCGGGGAGGGUCAUUGGAAACUGGGGGACUUGAGUGCAGAAGAGGAGAGUGGAAUUCCAUGUGUAGCGGUGAAAUGCGUAGAUAUAUGGAGGAACACCAGUGGCGAAGGCGACUCUCUGGUCUGUAACUGACGCUGAGGCUCGAAAGCGUGGGUAGCAAACAGG
rnacentral:rRNA from 1 species